rnacentral:rRNA from 1 species
AUUGAACGCUGGCGGCAUGCUUUACACAUGCAAGUCGAACGAGUGGCGAACGGGGGAGUAAUAUAUCGGAACGUACCGAGUAAGGGGGAAUAACCAAUCGAAAGAUUGGCUAAUACCGCAUAUUAUUCGAGCGGCCGAUAACUGAUUAGCUGGUUGGUGGGGUAAAGGCCUACCAAGGCGACGAACCGUAGCGGGUCUGAGAGGACGAACCGCCACACUGGGACUGAGGCACGGUCCCGAAUCCUACGGGAGGCAGAAGUGGGGAAGUUUGGACAAUGGGGGCAACCCUGAUUCAGCCAUGCCGCGUGUAUGAAUAAGGCCUUCGGGUUGGAAAGUACUUUUUGUAGGGAAGCGGUACCUAAAGAAUAAGCACCGGCUAACUACGUGCCAGCAGCCGCGGUAAUUC